AGAGAGAGCUCAAUUUUUCAUAUCUCUGGUUGUAUCUGUCACCCCAUUGACCACCAGUGUUGAUUCGGUUGAUCUGACUGCCUAGGAGGGUGUCUCCUUCCUCCCUCACUGCUCCAUGUGCAUCCAUCCUGAAGCUGCAAGCUUGGUGGAAGAUGACAACCUUCCCCAAUAGAGGAGGACUGUUCUUUGGUCAAGGGUAUAUAAGUAGCUGUAUUCCCCUGCUAGAAUCUCCAAACAACCCUCAAGGUUCAUAUUAUCAUUUUAAAAUAAAAAGAUUAAAUGAUUUUUUUCAAUUGUUUAAGUAGUAAAACUUUCAAU
ensembl:misc_RNA 7SK 7SK RNA